GAGAAGGAGAAGAGAGAGUGGGAAGCAGAGAGAGCGAGAAAGAGAGAGCGAGAGAGAGAGAGAGAGAGAGAGACUGCAGCAACCGACAUGGAGCUCGAGCCUUUCCGGAGGAGAGCGAGCAUCCUCUAAUCUGCCAGGAUCACCGUAGAAUACAUUGACACCUUAGACAACAGACAACACUUCUAUAUCACCAUGAGGAACUGCUGACACCCCCCCCCCCUCACCUGACUACCAGAGAGAAGACACUUUCUUCCUCCCAUCCUCUCUCCCAGUCCGCCCGUCUUCACAAGGAUAAGCGUUAUUUUCGAGAGUGGAAAAAGUGAACAUCAGAGGACAAAAUAGAGAAAAAAGCUGAAGUCCUCUCUUGACCCUUGACCUCUAACCACUGACCUGUGACCUCAGUAUGUCAGGUCUGAGUGGUAAGCUGCAGCGUGUCCAGUGGCGGGCAGGAUGGCACUCCUUCACCUCCAGAGUCCUCAGGACCAAACCAGUAGAGAGCAUGUUGGACUCUGGGACAGGUGGUACCAGCAGCCAUGGCACCAAACUAGCGAGGGUGUUGUCCACGGUAGACCUGGUGUCACUAGGGGUGGGAAGCUGCGUUGGCACGGGGAUGUACGUGGUCUCUGGGCUGGUUGCUAAGGAGAUGGCCGGACCUGGCGUCAUCGUCUCCUUCAUCAUCGCUGCUGUCGCCUCUAUACUGUCAGGAGUGUGUUAUGCUGAAUUUGGGGUUCGCGUUCCCAAGACAACAGGCUCAGCCUACACCUACAGCUACGUGACAGUGGGGGAGUGUGUGGCCUUUUUCAUUGGCUGGAACCUGAUCCUGGAGUACUUGAUUGGCACAGCCGCGGGGGCGUCGGCUCUCAGCAGCAUGGCGGACUCACUAGCCAAUAAAAGCAUCUCUACGUUUAUGACUACACACAUCGGAACACUCAACGGCCUGGGUAAAGGAGAGCAGUCGUACCCAGACCUUCUGGCCCUGCUGAUAGCAGUGAUAGUGACAGUGAUCGUGGCCCUGGGGGUGAAGAACUCAGUAGGGUUUAAUAAUGUGUUGAAUGUGAUCAACCUGAUGGUGUGGGUCUUCAUGAUGGUGGCCGGACUCUUCUUCGUCAACGGACACAACUGGGACGAUGGAAGGUUCUUACCCUUCGGGUGGUCAGGGGUGAUGCAGGGAGCAGCAACAUGUUUCUAUGCCUUCAUAGGGUUUGACAUCAUCGCUACAACAGGAGAGGAAGCCAAGAGCCCCAACACCUCUAUACCCUAUGCUAUUACUGUUUCCCUCAUCACCUGCCUUACUGCAUACGUCUCUGUAUCAGUGAUUCUUACUCUGAUGGUUCCCUAUACAGAGAUCGAUGCAGACGCUCCUCUGAUGGAGAUGUUUGCUGUACAUGGCUGUUAUUUUGCUAAGUACAUAGUAGCAGUAGGCUCUGUAGCUGGCCUGUCUGUCAGUCUCCUGGGCUCUCUGUUCCCCAUGCCACGAGUAAUCUACGCUAUGGCUGGAGACGGACUGCUGUUCAGGUUCCUGGCCCAUGUGUCUCCCUACACUGAGACUCCAGCAGUGGCAUGUGUUGUGUCUGGCUGUCUGGCUGCUCUCCUCUCUCUCCUCGUCUCCCUACGAGAUCUCAUAGAGAUGAUGUCCAUAGGAACACUACUUGCUUACACACUGGUUAGUGUGUGUGUGUUGUUGCUACGCUACCAGCCAGAAUCAGACAUCCACGGCUUUGUGAACUUCCUGUCUGAGGAGCAGUCCAAUAAGAAGAAGGAGGGCGUGUUAGCUGAGUGUGAGAAGGAAGUGUGCUCUCCAAUCAGUGAAGUAGAUGACUACGGAGGACCUCAAACUAACACCUGUGGAGCGAAGAAUCUCCCCUCGCUAGGUGACAACGAGAUGCUGAUUGGUAAACCAGAUAAAACCACUUACACUGCCAGCCAUCCGAACUACGGCACCGUCGACAUGGGCUCCGGCAUCGAAUCAGAAGAGUCGGAGGGCGGGAUGUCGUGGAGGCUGAAGAAGCUGAUUGGUCCGCGGUACUACACCAUGAGGAUCCGAUUGGGCCUGCCUGGGAAGAUGGACCGGCCCACUCCGGCAACUGGAAAGACAGUUACUGUCUGUGUCCUCCUCCUCUUCCUCAUCGUAUUCAUCUUCAACUCCUUCAUCAUCUUCGGAGCGGCCAGCAUCGGUGAUGGCAGCUGGUGGGCUCUUCUCCUGCUGAUCUUCCUGGUCAUCUUUAUGGCCCUCCUCAUCGUCAUCAUCCUGCAGCAGCCAGAGAACCCGAAGCGACUGCCCUACAUGGCUCCGGCUGUUCCCUGGGUUCCUGCUGCUGCCAUGCUGGUCAACAGCUACCUGAUGUUAAAACUGUCUGCCAUCACCUGGAUACGCUUCGCUGUCUGGUGUUUCCUAGGUAUCCUGAUCUACUUUGGUUAUGGGAUAUGGAACAGUACUUUGGAGAUCAGGUCCAGGGAGCAGGAGGUCCAUGCGUCUACAUACCAGCGCUACGAUGGUCACCAUGCCGGGGUGGACGACGGCUUCUCAGGCUUCAGCGUUGACGACGACCUCUACCCCCCUAGCAACAACGACCCCUGGGCCGCACCAGACGGUGUUGACGGGUCAGGGCUGGUACCCCCCACGGCUGAUGAUGAUGAUUGGACGGAUCCAAAGGGAGGAGCUAAGAGAGCGCUAGCGGAGGAAGACCCAAUGGAUUUCUGAGAAGAAAGGAAUGAUGGACAGAUGGACGGAUGUUUCCGAGAGAAGUGAUAGAUGUUACUGUUGUAAACACCUGAAUGUACUGCCUACUGCCGGCUGCCUGCGUGCGUGCGUGCGAGUGAGUGAGUGCGUCCAUGUGAAUGUGUGGGUCCCUUGUUACUUAUUUAAAAACGUCUUUUUUUUCAUUGAGUUCCAAAGGAAGUAUGAUCCUAUGGAGGAAAGCUGUAGACUACCAAUCAGAAACAGUGGGCGGGGUCUUUGGGUUGAUUUGGUGAUGGGCAUACAGUGAAGGUAUUUUCCUCUCACUAUAGACAGUCCAGAGUGAUGACAGACUGGGAGCGACGAGUCAGCAUUUCCUGGUUCACCACACACACGGGAAGCUGUCAGAGCGCUGAGCCAAGGUCACUUCCUGUCACUGGUCCAGGUGUCUGCUGCUUCUCUCAUCUCACAGAGAGGAAACUAGCUACACACACACAGACACUCUUAGACACACACCCGCCUCUCCAGUCUCUAUCUGGGAAUGGGUGGCUGAUGGGUUUUUUGUGUCACAUAGUAAUUGGACUUUGCUUGCAAUAGUGCCUUCAUCUGUGUGUGCACGUGUGUGUGUUUUUUGGGGGCUGUGUGUGUGCAUGCGUGCGUGUGUGUACGCUUUUACACCUUGUAUUUGUGUCCCCUUCAGGGUCUUACCAGUGGAGUGUGUUUGUGACUUAUUUUGCUCCAUCCCACUCUAUGAAUCACCCCCCCCCCCCCUGCCCCUGUUGCUGUGUUACUAGAGCUCAGAAUGGAAAGGUUCUAAAUGACAGAUUUGUUCUAAAAAGAGUUAUGGACGCCACCCUGCUCUGCUCUGCCUACAGGUGUGCUAAAUCUCCAAAUGAACGUUACUAUAUUAGAAAGAACACGAGAUGAGAAUUGCUCUCACAUCAGACAAAUAUUUCUGAGUGUUUAGUCACAUAGAACCCUCUAAUUCUAUGGUCUCCGCCCCCUUGGGGAAGCCUUACUUGUCAAAUGCACUAAACUAAAGAUGCCACGCGAUCCCUCCUACUCCCCACGACCCCUAAAUGCUGACCUCUAUCCCUAACCACUACCCAGGGUUCUCUCUGCUGUUCAGGGGUGGGCUCGCUUGUGUUGUCCAGUGAAACAGACACACACACACACACACACACAGUUCAGCUGAACCCAAAACCAGAAAGGGGCUUCAGUAGGUACUCUGUGCUCCUUACUGUAAAUAUUAUGUCUCUGUGUGUGCGCGGGUGUGUGUGUGUGUGUGUGUGUGUGUGUGUGUGUGUGUGUGUGUGUGUGUGUGUGUGUGUGUGUGUGUGUGUGUGUGUGUGUGUGUGUGUGUGUGUGUGUGUGUGUUCCAUGCCUGUGGCUAUGUGACGUGGCUGGCUGGUGUAUGUGAUAGCAUGCUAAUGUGUAUAGCAUGGUUGUAGAUGCUGUAUUUGCAUGUGGUGACCGACAGCUAAGAGACAUUCUAGAACUAACAGCACCCUACUCCAAACUGACCCCUGAUCCUUGAUAAGGGAAACUAUAGGGUGAAGGGGACUGGUCGAUCUGGAACUGGGGUAUGAUAUGUAGCAAAUUUAGGAGUUGGUGGUUCUAUGGUUUCAUCUCCACCCCUCACCACCGCUCACUCCACCCCUUACCCCCACACCCUGUGUUUACAAGGUAAGCCAAAGUCCACAACAUUUGUUAACUUUGUAGAGAACAAAACAACAAUGAGAAUUGUCCAGUGGGGCAUAGACCUGUACAAUAGAUUGAAGUCACUCACGGUAUACUUUGUUCUGCUUAUGAACGGUUCAUAAUCACUACAACAGGGUUUGUUUAGGUCAAACUCAAUUAUGAAUGUUAACUAUUCAAUCAGGAUCCACCUGGAACCAAAUAUAAAAAGACCCAAAUAAUGUAAUUUUUCUAUUGAAACAAGUUAACUAAGGGUUAAUAAUCUAAUAAUGGUUUAGAAGCCAUUUUUAAGCAGAAUUCAAGUUUUACUGAAAACACUUGGUAGAGUAGACACAUGCAGUUACAUUCACUAGCUAGAGUAAAUAUACACAGUUACAUUCACUAGCUAGAGUAAAUACACACAGUUACAUUCACUAGCUAGAGUAAAUACAUACAGUUACAUUCACUAGCUAGAGUAAAUACACACAGUUACAUUCACUAGCUAGAGUAAAUACAUUCAGUUACAUUCACUAGCUAGAGUAAAUACACACAGUUACAUUCACUAGCUAGAGUAAAUACAUAGUUACAUUCACUAGGUAGAGUAAAUACACACAGUUACAUUCACUAGGUAGAGUAAAUACAUUCAGUUACAUUCACUAGCUAGAGUAAAUACAUACAGUUACAUUCACUAGCUAGAGUAAAUACAUUCAGUUACAUUCACUAGCUAGAGUAAAUACACACAGUUACAUUCACUAGGUAGAGUAAAUACACACAGUUACAUUCACUAGCUAGAGUAAAUACACACAGUUACAUCACUAGCUAGAUUAAAUACAUUCAGUUACAUUCACUAGGUAGAGUAAAUACACACAGUUACAUUCACUAGUUAGAGUAAAUACAUUCAGUUACAUUCACUAGCUAGAGUAAAUACACACAGUUACAUCACUAGCUAGAGUAAAUACAUUCAGUUACAUUCACUAGCUAGAGUAAAUACACACAGUUACAUCACUAGCUAGAGUAAAUACACACAGUUACAUCACUAGCUAGAGUAAAUACAUUCAGUUACAUU